UCCUCUAUAACUUACCGCAAGAAAUGUAAAUCUGAUUCCCUGUGUAUAAUCUCAGACGUCCGUUGAAACAGAACCGCUCCAAUAAUCGUGUACACCACGACCCCUUUAACUUGUCCCUACAAUUUAACUUAUUUUAAGUCAUUUUUGGCUCACAAUAUCUUCAUGAAAGUUGUACUCAAUUGAAUAGGAUUUUCAACCAUGCCAAAUAGAGAUCCUAACUCCACUAGUACACCCUGAAAUACUAAACAAACCAAAGAUUUCCUGAUUUCACGUGAAAACAAUCUACCCCGUCUUCUCUGUCAUAAUUCACCCAAUGAACAUCAAAUUUGCUCAAGCUUUCUUCAUAAAAUUUGUUUGAAAAUGAAUUAGCUUUCAGUAAAUUUAAACCUCGCCUCUUAAUUCUUUUUGUAUGGCUCGAAAUCAAUAAAAAAAACCAGAGAUGUGCUUAAUGAACUAUAGAGAAGUUUGUGUUGCAAACUCCUUGUCUUCUUCAACAUACAUCUUUUGAACUUCUUCUUCUUUCUUUCUCAGUCUUCUACCCUUUGAAACACCUCUAAAAUUUGGUGAAGAAAUGGUGAAAUAAAUGGUAAAGAAUGGAAUGAGGGAAGCUUGGCAGUGGAGGGAAAGAGAAGAAGAAAAAGAGAGAAUUUCUCUUUUCUCUACUCUUUUUUCUUCUUUUAUAACCUUUCUUUUCUUUUCUUUUUUCAUUUUGUAAAAACCAUAAAUAUAUAAAAAAAAUUAUAUACUUAAUUUCCAAUUUUUUAAUUCCUUUUCUAUUUUUUAAAAAAAAUCCAAAGAAAAUAUCGGGUUUACAAAACCCCUACACCAAGCACGAAGCAAUCACAAGUCGUCUUGUAUCGCUGUAGACAAGCAUGCCCUGAUUACGCCCACAAAACGAUACAGACAUUAUCAAGCAAGCCCAUCCAGUAUAUCAACUCAACAUCCCGAUUUCACUCCCCGUCCGACGUAGAGACCCGACAUUUCAUUAAUUUCGACCAAACCCAAACCAAGCAAGAAGCAAUUGCAAAAUCUCUUGUAUCGCCACAGACAAGCACACUGAGAAUACGCCCACAACGAGGUUCAAGCAUUAUCCAAGCAAGCCCAUCCGAGUACAUCAACUCGACAUCCCACUCUGCCUCUCCGUCCGAUGUAAAGGCUCGACAUUUCGUCAAUUCCAACCAAACUCUUCCACCAAGCAAGAAGCAAUCGCAAUACAUAUUGUAUCGCCACAGACAAGCACGCCGAGAAUUCACCCACAACGAGGUGCAAGCAUUAUCCAAGCAAGCCCAUCCAAGUACAUCAACUCGACAUCCUGCUCUCACUCCCCACCCGAUGUACAGGCCCAUCGUUUUAGCCAAACACCUCCCCCGAGCACGAAGUAAUUUCCAGUCGUCACGUAUCACCACGGACUAGCACAGCCAGACUACGCCCACACCGAGGUGCAAGCAUUAUCCAAGCAAGCCCAUCCGAGUACAUCAACUUGACAUCCCGUUAUCAAUCCCCGCCCGAUAUACAUAUCCGUUAUUCUGGUCAAACCCCGCUACUGAGCACAAAGCUAUCGCAAGUCAUCUCGUAUCCCUACAGACAAGCAUGCCCAGACUACGAGGUGCAAGGAUUAUCCAAGCAAGCCUAUAUGAGUACAUCAACUCGACAUCUCGCUUUCACUACCCAUCCAACAGUUGGAUGUGGCACUCCAACCAAACCCCUCCACUGAGCAUGAAGCAACCACAAGUUAUCUCAUAAUUCCACGGAUAAGUACGCCCAAACUACGACUACAACGAGGUGCAAGCAUUAUCCAAGCAAGCCUAUUCGAGUACAUCAACUCGACAUCCUGCUCUCACUCCUCGCUUGGUAGUCAGACAUGGCACUCAGGCCAAACCCGUCCACCAAGCAUGAAGCAAUCUAGGAAAUACAAAAAAAUGAUCAAGCAGUUACUUUGGUUGAGAUACAAAAAAAAUGAACCAGUAACUGAGGAACAAAGUUUAACAAUUGGCAAGGUGCAGCCAUCUACUUCGACUAAAAAAAUUGAAUCUCAAUUGGAUGUAUACACAACAACUGUGUAGUCCUUUGAAUUAAGAGUUUGUUUCUUUCUAAUAUUAUACAUUUUAGAAAAUACAAAAAAUGAUCAAGCAGUUACUUUGGUUGAGAUACAAAAAGAAAAUGAACCAGUAACUGAUGAACAAAGUUUAACAAUUGACAAUGUGCAGCAAUAUACUUCAACUGAAAAAAUAGAAUCUCAAUUGGUAUGUAUACACAACAACUGUGUAGUCCAUUGAAUUAAGAGUUUGAUUCUUAUCUAAUAAUAUGCUUUGUAGGAAAUACAAAAAAAUGAUCAAGCAGUUACUUUGGUUGAGAUACAAAAAGAAAUUGCACCAAUAAAUGAGAAACAAAGUUCUACAAUUGAUUUAGAAUCUCAAGUGGAAAGACCUAAACAACAGGUUGAGAUUCAAAAAAAUGAUGAAGCAGUUACUUCGGAUCAAAAUGAACUCGUAACUGAGAAACAAACUUCUACAAUUGACUUAGAAUCUCUAUUGGAAAUGAAGGAAGAGCAAAAACCAAUAGAAAUAAGGUAUGUAAAAUAUCAGAUAAAAAAGUGUCUGAUCAAUAAGUUAAUCCACCCACAACAUCUACUGAGGUCAUAUUAAAACCUGACCUGUCCCAUAUGUCAAAUUGCGAGAUGUAGAUAGUUAUGAUCUCGUGUGGCCAGUGAAUCCAACAUUGUGGAAGGUAUACUUAUCUUGGAAGAGAUCUCGAAAAACAACUAAUAAAGAGAGGACAGUAGUGUUCACAAAAAGAAAGAAGGAAUUUUUCAAAAAGCUUAAAGAAAACACAUGGAUACUAGGAGAUGUAAGUACUCUUUCUAAAUUUUAUUUUAUAUAUAAAACUACAUGAUGGAGUACAAUAUUCUUUAUCUAACUAAACGAUCAUUUAUAUAUAAUACACGAUCGUUUUAUUAGAUAAGCAAACAAAAAAUGUUGUACAUGAUCGCUUAGUAUACAGAAGAAUGUUGUAAACGAUCACUUGUAUUUGCUAAACGAUGGCUUGAAUUUUCAUAAACUAUCGCUUCUAUUCACGAAACGAU